rnacentral:rRNA from 1 species
UACGGAGGGUGCAAGCGUUAUCCGGAUUCACUGGGUUUAAAGGGUGCGUAGGUGGGUUGGUAAGUCAGUGGUGAAAUCUCCAGGCUUAACUUGGAAACUGCCAUUGAUACUAUCAAUCUUGAAUACCGUGGAGGUCAGCGGAAUAUGUCAUGUAGCGGUGAAAUGCUUAGAUAUGACAUAGAACACCAAUUGCGAAGGCAGCUUGCUACACAGUUAUUGACGCUGAGGCACGAAAGCGUGGGGAGCAAACAGG